GAGCAAGGGCGUCCAAUAUCUAAAUAUGGCACAAAUUGCAUUGAAGGUUGGCAAUAAUAAUAUCAAGUGAUUCUCCAAGGUUAUCAAAUUCUAAUUAUGUUGAUUAUGGCCUCGAACAAGUCACAACAUU